AGAGUUUGAUCCUGGCUCAGAUUGAACGCUGGCGGCAGGCCUAACACAUGCAAGUCGAGCGGUAGAGAGAAGCUUGCUUCUCUUGAGAGCGGCGGACGGGUGAGUAAUGCCUAGGAAUCUGCCUGGUAGUGGGGGAUAACGUUCGGAAACGAACGCUAAUACCGCAUACGUCCUACGGGAGAAAGCAGGGGACCUUCGGGCCUUGCGCUAUCAGAUGAGCCUAGGUCGGAUUAGCUAGUUGGUGAGGUAAUGGCUCACCAAGGCGACGAUCCGUAACUGGUCUGAGAGGAUGAUCAGUCACACUGGAACUGAGACACGGUCCAGACUCCUACGGGAGGCAGCAGUGGGGAAUAUUGGACAAUGGGCGAAAGCCUGAUCCAGCCAUGCCGCGUGUGUGAAGAAGGUCUUCGGAUUGUAAAGCACUUUAAGUUGGGAGGAAGGGCAUUAACCUAAUACGUUAGUGUUUUGACGUUACCGACAGAAUAAGCACCGGCUAACUCUGUGCCAGCAGCCGCGGUAAUACAGAGGGUGCAAGCGUUAAUCGGAAUUACUGGGCGUAAAGCGCGCGUAGGUGGUUUGUUAAGUUGGAUGUGAAAUCCCCGGGCUCAACCUGGGAACUGCAUUCAAAACUGACUGACUAGAGUAUGGUAGAGGGUGGUGGAAUUUCCUGUGUAGCGGUGAAAUGCGUAGAUAUAGGAAGGAACACCAGUGGCGAAGGCGACCACCUGGACUAAUACUGACACUGAGGUGCGAAAGCGUGGGGAGCAAACAGGAUUAGAUACCCUGGUAGUCCACGCCGUAAACGAUGUCAACUAGCCGUUGGAAGCCUUGAGCUUUUAGUGGCGCAGCUAACGCAUUAAGUUGACCGCCUGGGGAGUACGGCCGCAAGGUUAAAACUCAAAUGAAUUGACGGGGGCCCGCACAAGCGGUGGAGCAUGUGGUUUAAUUCGAUGCAACGCGAAGAACCUUACCAGGCCUUGACAUCCAAUGAACUUUCUAGAGAUAGAUUGGUGCCUUCGGGAACAUUGAGACAGGUGGUGCAUGGCUGUCGUCAGCUCGUGUCGUGAGAUGUUGGGUUAAGUCCCGCAACGAGCGCAACCCUCGUUCUAUGUUGCCAGCGCGUUAUGGCGGGAACUCAUAGGAGACUGCCGGGGUCAACUCGGAGGAAGGUGGGGAUGACGUCAAAUCAUCAUGCCCCUUAUGUCUUGGGCUUCACGCAUGCUACAAUGGCCGGUACAAAGGGCUGCAAUACCGUGAGGUGGAGCGAAUCCCAAAAAGCCGGUCCCAGUUCGGAUUGAGGUCUGCAACUCGACCUCAUGAAGUCGGAGUCGCUAGUAAUCGCAGAUCAGCAACGCUGCGGUGAAUACGUUCCCGGGUCUUGUACACACCGCCCGUCAAGUCAUGAAAGUCGGUAACACCUGAAGCCG
rnacentral:rRNA from 1 species